AGUUCCCGGGUACCAACGCCCCCUUUCGACCCAAACCGCUAGCCAAACUGGAAACGACUACAUUUCCCGACCAAUCAUGCAUAAAUCCAGGAAGUCAGAUUCCUCAAGCUGGUUGCUUAUCGUUGCCAAGUUGCCAACAUAAAACAGAAUGGCAAAUGGGUUCUUUAGAUGUUUUGAAUGCAAUAAGGACGCGCACGAGCUUCGCAAAGAUUACAGUAAUGGGAUCUUGAAGAGAAUAAUAUAUUCAUUCUAUACUGCAGCAGAAGGCUCUCCCCACUGGCUGUGUGUGUGGGUCUGCUAUUGGAGACGUGCAUAGCCCAGGCAUUUCAGACACUUCCAUGGAGCAUACCGGACAUCCUGCCGUUCCAGUGACCUGUUUCAGGCCGGUCCUAAAGAACACACUGUUACAAUGGCGCCUAUUAUACCCGGGACCAGAGAGCGCAGGACCUGAGCCCUAGGACCAUGCCUCAGGACUACCUGGCAUGAUGACUCUUUGCUGUC